rnacentral:rRNA from 1 species
AUACGUAGGGGGCAAGCGUUAUCCGGAUUUACUGGGUGUAAAGGGAGCGUAGACGGAAGGCCAAGUCUGAUGUGAAAGCCCGCGGCUCAAUUGCGGGACUGCAUUGGAAACUGGUCAUCUGGAGUGCAGGAGGGGUAAGCGGAAUUCCUAGUGUAGCGGUGAAAUGCGUAGAUAUUAGGAGGAACACCGGUGGCGAAGGCGGCUUACUGGACUGUAACUGACGUUGAGGCUCGAAGGCGUGGGGAGCAAACAGGAUUAGAUACCCUGGUAGUCCACGCGGUAAACGAUGAUCACUAGGUGUCCGUGGGUAUGACCCAUGGGUGCCGCAGCCAACGCAAUAAGUAUUCCACCUGGGGAGUACGUUCGCAAGAAUGAAACUCAAAUGAAUUGGCGGGG